AAUCAACGCUGGCGGCGUGCCUCAGACAUGCAAGUCGAACGAUUAAAGCUCUCUUCGGAGAGUGUAUAGAGUGGCGCACGGGUGAGUAACACGUAAGUAAUCUACCUUUGAGUGGGGAAUAACAAUCGGAAACGAUUGCUAAUACCGCAUAAUGCAGCGGCAUCGCAAGAUGACAGUUGUUAAAGGAGCAAUCCGCUUAAAGAGGAGCUUGCGGCAGAUUAGCUAGUUGGUAAGGUAAUGGCUUACCAAGGCUACGAUCUGUAACCGGUCUAAGAGGACGGUCGGUCACACUGACACUGAAUAACGGGUCAGACUCCUACGGGAGGCAGCAGUCGGGAAUUUUGGGCAAUGGGCGAAAGCCUGACCCAGCAACGCCGCGUGAAGGAUGAAGUAUUUCGGUAUGUAAACUUCGAAAGAAUGGGAAGAAUCAAUGACGGUACCAUUUAUAAGGUCCGGCUAACUACGUGCCAGCAGCCGCGGUAAC
rnacentral:rRNA from 1 species